GGGCUCAUAGCUCAGUCUGGUAGAGCGCUCGGCUCUUAAAGCACGGAGUGACCGAAAGGUCGAGGGUUCA
rnacentral:tRNA from 1 species